UAUUUUUUUUUGCAGAUAAAAGAUCCAUUAUUUAUUCGUGUAUAAAAAUGCAUUAAAAAAUUAUAUUCUUUUCCAUAUCUAAUUUAAUUUUUGUACAAAAUAAUUUUUUUUAGAACAAACAAUGAAUUAUUUGAAAUGAUCACGUUAUCCUGCAUAUAAUUACCAAAUUUCCGCAAAAUAUAUUACCCAAGCAAAAUCGCGUUUACGUGAUGUCAGCUGAUAAUUCCAUAAAAUCACGCAUACGUGGCAACAACAAUUGAAAAUAAAAACGAAGAAUCUUAUCGAUAUACGUUUAAUAAAAUUAUUACACGUGAUUUCUAGGAAAUCGAGGGAUCAAUUCGUGGACCUUCCUUCAAGUUUCUCGAAACACGCGAUUCCGGAAUUAAGAGGCAGGUCCGACGUUGGUUUGGGUGAAGAUCGAUAAAAUUGCCGUGCUAAGUAUUCACGAUGCUAACGGCUCUCGCCAUCCUGGAUAAGGUGGUAAAUUUCGCUUAAAUCGAAUCUCAGACGAUUCCAUUUAUGUGAAAGUGGA